GACCGGCCGAGUGAGGGAGGUGGGGAAGAGAGAAGACCCAGCCGGUGGGCUAGCCACCGGACUGGGCGGACGGAACCGCAGGGCCGGCAGGCCGCGGUCCCGCGCCGGCGACGCCACCGGAGGCCGUUUUCCGGUGAUUCCCUAUGGCGCUUCAUAUCAUCAUCCUCAUAGCGGGCGUACCCAUAGGGGUCGCUACCUAUGAUGAUUCACAGUUCUGGCCCAUUGAUGCCGAUCAGUGGGUUUAUGUUUGUUUUGAUAGCCCGUGAUCAUAACGUUUAGUCAGGGAUUUAUUUUGUUUAUGUAUAGUAAUGACACUGCUAGUCCGGACCAGUUUGGAGAUAGUAGAAGUUACCUCCAAGAAGUAGUUCGAAGACCGGAUUAGUUUUUUUUGUAUAUGAUCAGUGUUUUAUUUUGUGAUCCCUGGCUGUUUGUAUUAGCUGAAAUAUUACGAAGACUUAUAACAUAUGUGAAAUUAUGGGUAUUAAUCUA